rnacentral:rRNA from 1 species
CUUCAUGAAGUCGGAAUUGCUAGUAAUGGCAGGUCAGCAUACUGCCGUGAAUACGUUCCCGGGCCUUGUACACACCGCCCGUCACACCAUGAGAGUUGGAGAUACCCGAAGCCUAUGAGCUAACUUUUAGAGGCAGUAGUCGAAGGUAGAAUCAAUGAUUGGGGUGAAGUCGUAACAAGGUAGC